rnacentral:rRNA from 1 species
GGGGAAACUAGCUGGAGGAAGAUCCGUAGGUGUACCUGCUGAAUAUGCAUAUCAAUAAGCCGAGCAAGUCUCUUGUGCGUACUUCUUGUUUCCUUGGUGGGUUCGCCCACCAUAGGACAAACCAUAAACCUUUUGUAAUUGCAAUCAGCGUCAGUAAAAAAAUUAAUAAUUACAACUUUUAACAACGGAUCUCUUGGUUCUGGCAUCGAUGAAGAACGCAGCGAAAUGCGAUAAGUAGUGUGAAUUGCAGAAUUCAGUGAAUCAUCGAAUCUUUGAACGCACAUUGCGCCCUUUGGUAUUCCAAAGGGCAUGCCUGUUCGAGCGUCAUUUGUACCCUCAAGCUUUGCUUGGUGUUGGGCGUCUUGUCUCCAGUUCGCUGGAGACUCGCCUUAAAGUAAUUGGCAGCCGGCCUACUGGUUUCGGAGCGCAGCACAAGUCGCGCUCUCUUCCAGCCAAGGUCAGCAUCCACAAAGCCUUUUUUCAACUUUUGACCUCGGAUCAGGUAGGGAUACCCGCUGAA